rnacentral:rRNA from 1 species
GAUCCUGGCUUAGGACGAACGCUGGCGGCGUGCUUAACACAUGCAAGUCGAGCGAUGAAGCUCCUUCGGGAGUGGAUUAGCGGCGGACGGGUGAGUAACACGUGGGUAACCUGCCUCAUAGAGGGGAAUAGCCUUUCGAAAGGAAGAUUAAUACCGCAUAAGAUUGUAGUACCGCAUGGUACAGCAAUUAAAGGAGUAAUCCGCUAUGAGAUGGACCCGCGUCGCAUUAGCUAGUUGGUGAGGUAACGGCUCACCAAGGCGACGAUGCGUAGCCGACCUGAGAGGGUGAUCGGCCACAUUGGGACUGAGACACGGCCCAGACUCCUACGGGAGGCAGCAGUGGGGAAUAUUGCACAAUGGGGGAAACCCUGAAUGCAGCAACGCCGCGUGAGUGAUGACGGCCUUCGGGUUGUAAAACUCUGUCUUUGGGGACGAUAAUGACGGUACCCAAGGAGGAAGCCACGGCUAACUACGUGCCAGCCGCAGC